AAGAAGAAAAAUGUGUUUUAUUUUUCCACACUGAGGGUUGAACACUGAAAACGUUGAAUGAAUGUUGUUGAGAUUGAAGACGAACAAACUGGUGUUCGCAGGUAACAGUCCGUUCUACUACAAGCCGACAAUAUAUUUUUUAUAUUUUCAUUAAAUCGUGUUUAUCCGAUGACCCAAGCAGUGAAGCACUUAAUCUAAUUAUUCAUUGUUACUGAGGUCACAAUGAGGAGAUUUAACUUAGAGGUACAGGUGUAAAAGACAUAUAAAGCGAUACAAAACACACACACACACACACACACACAGGAUUUCAAGAAGAGCUGCACAUCAUUAAUGCAUAAACAUACAUGUAAUGAUCAAGGGUUUCAAUCAGUUUUGAAGGUCGUCUCUCAUAGGAGUCAACAAAACGAAAUGCCAAAGACGUUGACUAAAAUCCACCUGAUUCCAGAUGAUUCACUCAGCAGAGGGAACGGGAUUCCUCCUCUGGAUCCCGUUGGUCACGCUGUCCACAGCGAGAACCAUGAAAGACUUUGAACCACAAACAUCUCAGCCCCUCUUUGAUCCACGGCUCUUGGCUCCACCUGCUCCUUCGCUCCGUCGCCUCAGCGGUGACGAGUUCGGGCCGUAAUAAGGACUCAGCGGUUCUGUUUGUUGACUCAUCUUCUUGACACUAAUCUGCAGGAGAGACUGGAAAUCUAGAAAUAUAUAUAUAUAUAUAUAUUGUCAAGGUGAAGAGGAAAUAGUCUCCAAGAUGUUCCAGUGCCAUUAAAAUCAUUUCACAAGACCCGCCACGUGCUGCAGGAACAUCUGUGCUCAGAUGGCUCCUGUGCACUUGGACCGAGCUCUGUGCGGCUGUCUGGAUGGAAACCAUGAAAAAAAAAAAAAAAAAAGUUAAAUUCAUGAGUCAUGCCUGCAAAUUUAAAAAGCAAUGUCUUGUAUAAAGUCAGAAGAAAAAAAGCUCCACGGGAACCAAGACUGAUGAAAGAUGACUGAGCCCUGACGCAUGCAUGUGCAUAGGUACAGUGUGAGUCUGGAGAGGAAGGACACACACACACACACACAGAGCACAGGACCUUCACACU
ensembl:lncRNA